rnacentral:rRNA from 1 species
UACGUAGGGUGCGAGCGUUUAAUCGGAAUUACUGGGCGUAAAGCGUGCGCAGGCGGUCUGUUAAGACAGAUGUGAAAUCCCCGGGCUUAACCUGGGAACUGCAUUUGUGACUGGCAGGCUAGAGUAUGGCAGAGGGGGGUAGAAUUCCACGUGUAGCAGUGAAAUGCGUAGAGAUGUGGAGGAAUACCGAUGGCGAAGGCAGCCCCCUGGGCCAAUACUGACGCUCAUGCACGAAAGGCGUGGGGAGCAAACGAGG